AGCCGUCUUUGGGUCGCCGCAGCCCGGCGUCUCCCGAGAUUGUGCGGUGAGAACGUGAGGGUCUUAGGGGAAAUCCCGGGUCGGCGUGUGAUUCGUGUGUGGGAAGAUACUGUGCCCCGUGGUGUCCCAGUCUCCUUUUUCCUCUUACAAAUUAAGGGGAGUCACCCUUAAAGCGUUAAAGGGUUGAUUUAGGUAAACAGCGAUUGGUGAAAUGGGAAGCCUGCCGCCGUGGUUUGUGGUUUAGGGUCCUCUGGAGCAGCGAUUUCAAAAUCCCAGGGCUCAGCUUAGGAAUGCUGCUGGGGAAAAGAAAUAGGGACAAUCUCUCUUCCACUUUGGCUGUAGAAAACGAAUACAUUUCCACAGAAAGUGUGCUAGAUUAAUUGGUCAAUUACAAACAUUCAUUAAAAUAUCAGGUCCUCUCUUUUGCAGUGGAGGAUUUGUGACAGUGGAUAUCUGUGUUCCAUAUUCUACUGCUAUCUGGAUGUCCGACUUUAAUGCCAAAUGUUAUGAGACAGGACUUGGCACCUCCUAGAAGUGUUCACAUAUACUAAAUGAUCUGCUAUUAUGGAAAUAAUUAAAUGACAUGUUUCUUGCUCGAAAGAGGUAUUUUGGCCUUACCUGUUGAAGUAUAAAGUGUAAGUGCCUUACAGUUUCCUUCCUUUCUAUAAAAACUGUUUUGAGUGAUUUUGCUAUUUUCCUGAAACCUGUUAGGUCACUGAACAUCUGACUGGCUGGGCACCUGCUCCUGUCCCUUCAGUUGAGGUAGGAUUGGCAGCACUCCCCAGAAGGCGUGCAGUGCCAGGAGAGUGGAGGAAGGUCUGACGUUUGCUAUCCUGGGGUAGGUUUUAGAGCUCGCUAGAUGCUUGUGGAGAGCUGAUGAGAUGGGAAGAAGGCACCCCACCUCGAUGGACCUGAAAGAGAGAGCCUGCGAAUUGAGAAGCGGGUGUGUGGAAUAACCCUGACUAGGCAUAGAAGACCUCAGUCUUAUUUGAGCCUGCAAAAGGAGGUCAUUGAAGGCCCAGUUAGUUCUUCCUGGGGAGCGCCCCCUUCAGGUGUCCCUGAGGUUCACAGCAGCCAUGGAGGGAGCCCUUUGUUACUGGGAGAAGCUGCAGAGUUCUGGAAAGCAGGGGAUUCACAGGCGGAUGUGGUCGAGGUUGGGCUGGAAGGGAGAUUGGGAAGCUCUUUCUGAGGGUGGAAUUGUUAGUGUCCUGGGGCUGUUUCUUGACUUGGUCAAAUAAAACAUCUGGAUAUAGGUAAGAAGUGCCUUAAUUGUAAAGGAGUAUUGCAAGAGGAGGAAAGCACCAACUGUAAGAUAUUUGUGGAUCUCACAGUUGAAGCAGAAAAGGCCUUUCUUUCAUAGGGAGGAGCAAACAUGAUUCAAGGUGGGAGGGGAAGGGCACGACUCCUGGACUAAAUCAGAUCCCUGAUCAGAGAAUGUUUCACCCUGAAGUCAGCCUGUUCUUAGGAGGGGCAUAAAGAGGGGUUGAAUGUUGACUCAGGCUGUGGGUGGGACAAACCUCAGGCACCUUGGAGAAGGGGAGAAAUUUAAGCAACUUUGGUUAACACAUAUUUUGUUUUGACCAUCGAAGAUAAAACUCUUUAUUUAAUUGCUUAUGAGGGGGAAAAAAAGGAAAUAGGAGAGUUUGUGGCUUUGUGAUACCUAAAACAGGGAGCAUCAUCUAAGUCAUAACAGGAAGAAGAUUCUUUGCAGUAAGCUGCUCUUGAAGAACAAAAAGGAAGGGGGAUUUCUUUCAUCACAGCUGCUUCCCAGGGUUAACUACCUACUCCAUCUUUUCCCCACUCCUUUCUCUUGCCCUACACAUCUCUUCCAUUAGGCUGAGUUGUAUCUUUUAUAAUAAACUGGUCAAUGCAAUUACAGUCUUUGCUGAGUU
rnacentral:lncRNA from 1 species